rnacentral:rRNA from 1 species
UACAGAGACUGCGAGCGUUAUUCGGAUUCACUGGGCGUAAAGGGUGCGCAGGCGGCCGUGUGUGUGAGGCGUGAAAGCCCGGGGCUUAACCCCGGAAUUGCACCUCAAACUACACGGCUAGAGCAUUGGAGAGGGUAGCGGAAUUCACGGUGUAGCAGUGAAAUGCGUAGAUAUCGGGAGGAACACCAGUGGCGAAGGCGGCCUUCUGGCUCAUAACUGACGCUGUAGCGCGAAAGCGUGGGGAGCGAACCGG